AUGGCUGGAUUCGGUGAUGCACUGAGGCCGGAUAAGUUUACCGGUGUGCACUUUAAGAGGUGGCAGGUGAAGACCACGCUCUGGCUUACUGCUCUGAAAGUUUUCCACGCUAGUGUUGGUGCUCCAGAGGGAAUGACCGACGAAGAUCGGAGAAAAUUCCAGGAAGCCAAUACUAUGUUUGUGGGAUGCAUUUUGAGUGUUCUUGCUGACCGUCUGUGUGAUGUGUACAUGCACAUAAAUGACGGAAAGAUUCUGUGGGAUGCACUGAAUGCAAAAUUCGGUGCAACAGAUGCAGGCAGUGAACUGUACAUCAUGGAGAGUUUUCAUGACUACAAGAUGGUGAAUAACCGUUCUGUGGUUGAACAAGCUCAUGAGAUACAGUGCAUUGUGAAGGAACUUGAACUCCUUAAAUGUGUUCUACCCGACAAAUUCGUGGCUGGGUGCAUGAUUGCAAAGUUGCCUCCUUCAUGGAGGAAUUUCGCCACAACUCUGAAGCAUAAGAGACAGGAGAUAUCAGUUGAAAAUCUGAUUGCAUCUCUUGAUAUUGAAGAAAAAGCUCGGGCUAAAGAUACUACUGAAAAAGGAGGUGAGGUUCAGCCUACUGCUAACAUGGUGCAGAGGUACCCACAGAACAAGAACAAAGGGAAGAACAAACCUGUUUUCAACAAGCCUACCAAGACUACUACCUUCAAGAAGAAGAAGUUCAACAAGGCUGAGCUAGAGUGCUACGCCUGUGGGAAGCCUGGACACUUUUCCAAGGAAUGCCCUGAACGUGCAGACCGCAGAGGGAAAACAAGCUCCAAGACUGUCAACAUGGUGACCGCUAGCAAUACUGAUGGGUAUGGUAAUUUACCUAUUGUGCUUUCAGUAUUUCAAUCAUCUUCGUGGUGGAUUGAUUCGGGUGCUAACGUUCAUGUGUGUGCUGACAUCUCCCUGUUUACUUCUUAUCAGGUCGCAAGGGAUUCUUCCAUCCUAAUGGGGAAUGGGUCACAUGCUUCUGUUCGUGGCAUUGGCAUGGUGGAUCUGAAGUUUACUUCGGGAAAGAUCGUGCAACUAAGGAACGUGUAG
rnacentral:rRNA from 1 species